CCUUCCAAAAAGGCGUUGUGGUGAUGGGGCAGCCUCAAACCCAGCACAGGUGCAAGAAAGAGCACAGGGAAAGGCUGCCAAUAUUCAUGAAUGUCUUGUGAGAACAAGCUGCUUUCCAGGCACUCACAACCCCCUCUCCUGGGCUAGAAGCAUCCUCCCUGCCCUCCCAAACUCCGUGCUGUGGGAUGGACUGGAGUAAGUGAACAACCAAUAUCUCCAUCAGCGUCUCCUCUUGGUUCUGCAAAAACCAGUUUUUAAAUGGCAAAGCUGUGCUGUGGAGAAGGGCUGGGAUGCAGCAGCUCUUCCAGCCUGUCAGGGACCAGCUGCAGCUGGGGCAGCUCUGUGUCUGUGUGCUGGAGAAAUGGGUGUCCAACGUCACCGAGUCCAUCCAGCGCUAACGUCACUUCGAUCUGACAGAGGGAGAAACAUCUCUCUGAGCUAAAGACCUUUCCUUCUGAACUCCAGGACACGUAAUUACCACACAGCCAGCACAUCUCAUGUUGCCAUUACAAGUAAUUUAGCUACAACGA